rnacentral:rRNA from 1 species
AACGAACGCUGGCGGCAUGCCUAACACAUGCAAGUCGAACGAAGUCUUCGGACUUAGUGGCGCACGGGUGCGUAACGCGUGGGAAUCUGCCCUUGGGUGCGGAAUAACUUCUCGAAAGGGAUGCUAAUACCGCAUAAUGUCGUAAGACCAAAGAUUUAUCGCCCAAGGAUGAGCCCGCGUAAGAUUAGCUAGUUGGUGGGUAAAAGCCUACCAAGGCGACGAUCUUUAGCUGGUCUGAGAGGAUGAUCAGCCACACUGGGACUGAGACACGGCCCAGACUCCUACGGGAGGCAGCAGUGGGGAAUAUUGGACAAUGGGCGAAAGCCUGAUCCAGCAAUGCCGCGUGAGUGAUGAAGGCCCUAGGGUUGUAAGGCUCUUUUACCAGGGAUGAUAAUGACAGUACCUGGAGAAUAAGCUCCGGCUAACUCCGUGCCAGCAGCCGCGGUAA